UGUUAAUGUAGGUUCUGAAAUCUUCAAAAAGUGGUGUUAAAGCUUCUGAUAUUCCAACUAAAUACAAGAAUUACUUUAUUGAGGACCUACCAUGGCAGUCUUUAGGGCAUGCUAGCAUUGUGGAGAUGUUGUUUGAGAUGACAGAUAUUGCUGACUUAGAGAAACCAACAAAAGAUGGAGAGUAUCUUGUUUUUGCUAAAAAAACAAGACGCUGCUAGUGUUUCUGCAGCAACUGCAUUAAUCAAAAAGCCCACAUCCAUUCCUGAAACAUUUUCACUGCUAGUGUGUAGAAUAUUGGAAGGGUCUUCACCUGUUCCUGUUCUCCAGUUUCCAAAGUUUUUUUAGAAAAUAACAACCAAGGAGCUCCCACUGAUUGAGUAUGGCUUCAGUACAGUUGAAGAGUUCCUAGCUUGCAUACCAGAGAUUAGUAUAAUUGAAGAUGAGAAAAAGGAGAAAGUUAUUAAAGUGACACAGCCUUAAAAAGAAGCCGAGAAGGAGGAGGAAGUAGCUACUAAGGGAAAGACACUCUCUGGCACCUGUGCUACUAAAAAGCAUACUACACAAGCAGGAUGACAUAAGACAUCUAAAGAGACAGUUUGAGGAAAAGAAAGAGGAAUAAGGGAACUAAGGUUAACAGCUUGCUAAAAGAGAACAACUUCAACAGAAAAUAAAGAUGCUCCAACAAGAAGUGACACAACUUGAGACAGAGAACAAAGAACAAUCCCAAGUAGAAAGAUAAUGCACUCAGUGCAUAUGAACCAUAACAGCACUAGGGAUGUACUCAAGAGAGCCAUUACAGUACUUGGCACAAAGCGCCAAGUACUGUAUUGGCUGUUUCAUGUGGUAUAUUAACAUAAAAUUCAUAAUGUUUAAUAACUAUUAAGAGCGUGCUCACUGCUCAGUUAAUAUCUUAUGUAAAUAAAUAGUGUAUGUUUGAGUAUAGACAAUUAGAGAACAAGAGGGAAUGAUAGAGAGAGAACUUCAUUUUGUUUAUUUUUGUGGUGUUUAUUCUGGCUGAUUUGUGUCCUCUGAUUUAUCUAUCAUUAUAAUCAAUUCUUGAAUUCAAUGCAUAACAUCUUGCAAGACUAAAGACUCAA